rnacentral:rRNA from 1 species
UGGGGAAUAUUGGGCAAUGGGGGAAACCCUGACCCAGCAACGCCGCGUGAAGGAAGAAGGCUUUCGGGUUGUAAACUUCUUUGACGUGGGACGAAACAAAUGACGGUACCACGAAAACAAGCAACGGCUAACUACGUGCCAACAGCCGCGGUAAUACGUAGGUGGCGAGCGUUGUCCGGAAUUACUGGGUGUAAAGGGCGAGUAGGCGGGUAGGCAAGUCAGAUGUGAAAUAUCUCGGCUUAACCGGGGGGCUGCAUUUGAAACUGGUUAUCUUGAGUGAUGGAGAGGCAUGCGGAAUUCCCGGUGUAGCGGUUAAAUGCGUAGAUAUCCGGAGGAACACCAGUGGCGAAAGCGGCCUCCUGGACCAUUCCUGACACUCAGACGCGAAAGCUAGGGUAGCAAACU